rnacentral:rRNA from 1 species
UUAGUACCGUGAGGGAAUGGUGAAAAGUACCCCGGGAGGGGAGUGAAAUAGUACCUGAAACCGUGUGCUUACAAUCCGUCAGAGCCUUAACUUUGUUGGGGUGAUGGCGUGCCUUUUGAAGAAUGAGCCUGCGAGUCAGCGGCAUGUCGCGAGGUUAACCCGUGUGGGGUAGUCGUAGCGAAAGCGAAUCCUAAUUGAGGGUGUUGUUAGUGGCAUGUCCUGGACCCGAAGCGGGGUGAUCUACCCAUGGCCAGUGUGAAGCGAUGGUAAGACGUCGUGGAGGCGCGAACCCACUUAGGUUGAAAACUGAGGGGAUGAGCUGUGGGUAGGGGUGAAAGGCCAAUCAAACUCCGUGAUAGCUGGUUCUCCCCGAAAUGCAUUUAGGUGCAGCGUUGUGUGUUGCUUGCCGGAGGUAGAGCUACUGGUUGGUUGAGCGGGACUAUCAUCUUAGCAAUGUCAGCCAAACUCCGAAUGCCGGUAAGUUGUAAGCAUGGCAGUGAGACUGUGGGGGAUAAGCUUCAUAGUCGAAAGGGAAACAGCCCAGAUCGCCGGCUAAGGCCCCUAAGGGUGUACUAAGUGGAAAAGGAUGUGGGAUCGCGAAGACAGCCAGGAGGUUGGCUUAGAAGCAGCCAUCCUUGAAAGAGUGCGUAAUAGCUCACUGGUCGAGUGGUUCUGCGCCGACAAUGUAGUGGGGCUUAAGUACACCGCCGAAGCCGCGGCAAUACAUCUUUGUGGUGUGUUGGGUAGGGGAGCGUCGUGCACUUGCGUUGAAGCAGGCGUGUGAAUUCCUGUGGAGUGUGUGCGAGUGAGAAUGCAGGCAUGAGUAACGAUUGAUAAGUGAGAAUCUUAUCCGCCGGAUGACUAAGGGUUCCUGGGUCAAGUUCGUCUUCCCAGGGUGAGUCGGGGCCUAAGGCGAGGCCGACAGGCGUAGUCGAUGGAUAACGGGUUGAUAUUCCCGUACCCGUGUAUGCGCGACCAUGAUGAAUCAGUGAUACUAACCACCCAAAAACCACAUGUCAGCACUUGUGUUGGUGUGUGGUGGAUGCGUGGGACCUGAUCUGGUAGUAGUCAAGUGAUGGGGUGACGCAGGAAGGUAGCCAGGCCACUUAUUGGAUUGUGGUGUAAGCGUGUGGGGUGGGGUAUAGGUAAAUCCGUACCCUAUUAAACCUGAGGCGUGAUGCGUACCCACGUAGUGUGGGGAUGUUGGUGAUCCUAUGCUGUCGAGAAAAGCCUCUAGCGAUGUGCAUAUUCGGCCCGUACCCGAAACCGACACAGGUAGUCAGGUAGAGAAUACUAAGGCGUUCGGGUGAACUGUGGUUAAGGAACUCGGCAAAAUGCCCCCGUAACUUCGGGAGAAGGGGGGCCAUGGCUGGUGUCAUAUCCUUUGCGGUGUGGUUGCUGGUUGUGGUCGCAGAGAAUAGAGGGAAGCGACUGUUUAUUAAAAACACAGGUCCGUGCGAAAACGGUGAAGUUGAUGUAUACGGACUGACGCCUGCCCGGUGCUGGAAGGUUAAGAGGACCUGUUAGGCCCC